rnacentral:rRNA from 1 species
GAUGAACGCUAGCGGCAGGCUUAACACAUGCAAGUCGAGGGGUAACAGAGAGAAGCUUGCUUUUCUGCUGACGACCGGCGCACGGGUGCGUAACGCGUAUACAAUCUACCUCUUACUGAGGGAUAGCCCAGAGAAAUUUGGAUUAACACCUCAUAGUAUGAUGAUUCGGCAUCGGAUUUUCAUUAAAGGUUACGGUAAGAGAUGAGUAUGCGUUCUAUUAGCUAGUAGGUAUGGUAACGGCAUACCUAGGCAACGAUAGAUAGGGGCCCUGAGAGGGGGAUCCCCCACACUGGUACUGAGACACGGACCAGACUCCUACGGGAGGCAGCAGUGAGGAAUAUUGGUCAAUGGGCGCAAGCCUGAACCAGCCAUGCCGCGUGCAGGAAGACUGCCCUAUGGGUUGUAAACUGCUUUUAUACAGGAAGAAACACUCCCUCGUGAGGGAGCUUGACGGUACUGUAAGAAUAAGGAUCGGCUAACUCCGUGCC